AUGGUUUCUCUUAGAGCCUACCCCCUCUUCCCCUGGGUCUGGUCUAAUUUCAGGCCUGCCCUCAGUAGUGGCUGCCUGCCCAUCCUGCUUACUAAUGCUUGUCUGAUGCCUAAUGGGGAAAGCGGGUCUUUGUCACAUUGGGCUCAGGUUACAGAGGUGGAGGCAUAUCUGGAAGCCAGACCCGACGUAGCACCAACGCUGUCACUGGCCACCCGGAUUUCAGGCAGCCUGGCCCCUCAACUCCCGCAGCAUCCAGGGAGCCUUGGCCUGUCCUGUAUCUCCGGGAAGUUGGUCAGGUGGAGGGCACACUUGGAACACACACCUUCACUUUGCCAAGGCUAUUUACCUGGCUACCAUGAAAGGACUCUCAAGUGAAUAAAGGAGGAGAGGUCUCUGCCCAGGCUGAGAGUUGAGCUGAGCUUGCAAACUCAGCAUAGCAGGAAGCAGCUUGCUUACUAAUCACAUGUGUCCUUGGCAGAUAUUCGGCUUGGCUCUCCAACAGUGGUAUGGGAUCCUCUGGUCCCCCUGGUCUGGGUAUUGAACCUGCCCUGUAUGAAACCGCACCACCUGGCCAGUCUCCAGACUGUACCUUCUGCCCUGUGGGACAUGUGGGUCCGUUGAUGGGUGGUGCGGUUCUCCACGGAGGGUCUGGGAUACUCAGUCCUGGUGCGGACGAGUGUGUCAUCCCCGUGGGGAGCCUCUGAGCUGUCUCCCGGCGAUGGUCCCCGGGAUCUUGCUGAACUCCGCCAGCUUUUCCUUCUCCCUUCUGCUCUCCCUGUUUCUCUGUCCCUCCCUGGAGACCCUGCCUAGCUGGCUCCUUUCUUCCCUUUUUGCUCUGCUGCUGCUGGCUGCCACAAGGGCCCCUUCCACCUAGGGUUCCAAGACUUUCUGGGCCCUUCUGGGUCUGGCUCACCUGGCAGUAGCAGUUCUUCAAACCCUUAUUUCAGAUAGCUGGAGCAGGCUGGGAUCCUUCACUGCCCCUUUCCCUGCCGGGUGGUUUCCCAGAGUAGGCUGUCAGGGCCUGGAG
rnacentral:lncRNA from 1 species